CCUACGGGUGGCAGCAGUGAGGAAUAUUGGUCAAUGGACGAGAGUCUGAACCAGCCAAGUAGCGUGAAGGAUGACUGCCCUAUGGGUUGUAAACUUCUUUUAUAUGGGAAUAAAAUGUUCCACGUGUGGGAUUUUGUAUGUACCAUAUGAAUAAGGAUAGGAUAACUCCGUGCCAGCAGCCGCGGUAAUACGGAGGAUCCGAGCGUUAUCCGGAUUUAUUGGGUUUAAAGGGAGCGUAGGUGGAUUGUUAAGUCAGUUGUGAAAGUUUGCGGCUCAACCGUAAAAUUGCAGUUGAAACUGGCAGUCUUGAGUACAGUAGAGGUGGGCGGAAGUCGUGGUGUAGCGGUGAAAUGCUUAGAUAUCACGAAGAACUCAGAUUGCGAAGGCAGUUCACUGGACUGCAACUGACACUGAGGCUCGAAAGUGUGGGUAUCAAACAGGAUUAGAUACCCCGGUAGUC
rnacentral:rRNA from 1 species